rnacentral:misc_RNA from 1 species
UUCGUGUGCGUUGACACAACUCUUUGUGUGAAAUACAAAAACUAAAAUGGCGACGUCAGUAGAGUGAUGGAAUUGAGGAAUUUUUUCAAUUGUGUUGAUUUUUUAUAUUCAUAUUCUAUAUAUUGGUGGAUAUUUUAACCCAAUUACAACAAUAAAUCUAAAAACACAAACAAAUAAUACCAAAUAAAUAUAUAUAUCAAACAAUUUCCGUGCAAAUGCCUAAAACAAAAAGUGAAAUAUCUAAAAAGCAAAUAAAAAACCUAUUGAAAAAAAGUGAAAAAAGUUACGCUAAAGAAAAAAUAAAAAUGGCGCCCGCGACGUCUUGACUUUCUUUUUUUUUUACAUAUAUUGUAUAAAAUCGUUUUUGCAUAAAGAAUUUUACAUUAAUUGUAAAUAUUUCCACGAAAAAAACAUGCUAAAAACACAAUUGACUAAAUUGUGAAAAUCUUAUUCAAUAAAAAAAUAUCGUGUAAAAGUUUGGAGAAAAAUUCUAAAGCAAAAUAAAAGUUGAAAAGCGAAAUUACUGUGGCCGUUGUUUUUUUAAGUUCGUUCAUUUCAGUUUCAUUAUAUUUUUUUUAAUUUUCAUUCAUACGUUCGUAUACGUGCGUGUGUGUAAUAUAUAUUUUUUUUAAAUAAAUAAAAGGCCUUGAGGAUGUGUGCUGCUCAAAGUAAUCCAACACAAAGUUUUGGUCCUUAUGCCUGGGGUUUUGCUGAUAACACUCGAGGUCCCGAGUCCGUAUUGGAAAUAUCGCCCAAUAUAAACUACACUGUUAGCAGUGAAUCUCAUUAUAAUUUUCAGAUGCCAUAUUUGUUAUCCACUGAUGGAUCAUUAACAGUGCAAAAAGAUGUUAAAGGAGGAUUAGCUGGCAAUAAAAGUGUUGUACGGCGUAUGGUAUUGGUCAAUGACCCAUUUGCAACAGGAGCUCAAAGAGUAAUUACUGGUGCUGCCGCCGCCUCCUCAGUUGUUAAGAAACCAGAGCAACAACAACAAGUUUUAAACUUAAAUUGUGACAAAAAUUAUCUUCUUGUCGAUCAAACAGAUCAGUCUCAUUUAUCGAACGGUAUUGUAGAUUCAAAAACACAAACCAUAUUAACAACAGCAGCAGCUGCUAAUAAAGCACAUUUUAGUCCAAUUGGCCCCAUACACUUGACGGCCGAGGAAUGUAAUGAAAUAUUAAUGAAACGUGCUUUGGCCGCCACACACCCACAAACUAUAACAUCAAAUGAUGGUCAUAAUACAACUACAAGUCAUGCAAUGUUAGGUGACAUAUUGCCUGGCAUCUCAGUGCAAGUACAAAAAGUUAUACAAGGUCUAGAAGACAAUGAUGAUUCACAAGGUAAUGUGCCUAAUUUAAAAUUAGAACCUGGAACAUUGGAACUCUCACCGAAAGCAGAAUUACAAGACACCAUGCAUUUUACAGAUGCCGAUGCCACCAUUAAAAAAGAACGCCCUUACAGUUGCGAUGAGUGUGGCAAAUCAUUUUUAUUAAAACAUCAUUUAACUACUCAUGCUAGAGUACAUACAGGGGAACGGCCCCAUAUCUGUACACAUUGUGGUAAAAGUUUCGCCCAUAAACACUGUCUAAAUACCCACUUGCUUCUACACUCCACCGAUCGCCCUUAUCAGUGCACCGAGUGCAAAAAGAGUUUUACUCUUAAACAUCAUUUGUUGACCCAUUCUAGGGUACACUCACGUGAUCGACCCUUUAUUUGCCAGGAAUGUGGUCGUACAUUCCCGCUGAAACGUCACUUAGUGACCCAUAGUAAAUAUCAUGCUGGCGAACGACCGUUUGUUUGUGAUGAAUGUGGCGAAAGUUUUGCCCAAGAAAAUCAUCUUAUUAUGCAUUCACGUUUUCAUGGUUCUGUUAAUCCAUUCGUUUGUCAGGAUUGUGGUGUUACAUUUCCGCGUAAAUUUCAAUUGGUCAAUCAUGCUCGUAUACAUGGCAAAGUACCGCAUGCCUGUACAGUGUGCGGUAAAGAAUUUUUACAAAAAAGAACAUUAGUGGCACAUAUGCGUGUACAUACUGGUGAUCAACCAUAUCCUUGUAUAAGUUGCGGCGAAGGUUUUAUGACAAGACCGGAUUUAAAUCAACAUAUACGCACCACACAUGGUGGUGUCAAUCCGAAUUCUUCAAAUACCGCCGCAGUGCCGUCCAACAAUUUAAUUUCACAGCAGCAGCCAACACAAACAAUACAACAAGUACACCAAACACAAGCCCAUACUACACAUCAGCAACAGCAGCAAGGGCAUCAAGUUCAAAAUAAUCAUCCACAAACUAUAACGGUGGUUAGCAAUCCAAACAAUUCGGCCUUGUUAACGGUCACCGCCAAUGAUGCCAAUAAUACGGCCAGACCACAAUUUGGUUGCCGGGAAUGCGGAAGUGCCUUUAAUAGUCGCGAAGCUUUAGCUCUCCACCUGCGUUUACAUACCGGUGAUAAAAGUCUUAUGACCGAUUUAUGUGCUUUAACCGCCGCCUUGCCUACACACUUACUAAGCACAACCGGUAUGAGUUCUGGCGCCACUGUUGUGGCUGCCAAUCCAAAUAUUAUAGCCCAAAACCAAAUGCCAGUUCAAAUCAUAUCAUCAACGGGUCAAGUUGUUUCACAGACAACACUGGUGCAGGCCGCCGCUACGACUCAUCCGCAGACACUUGUUCCCGGCAUGUCAUCGGUUGGUUUACAGCCUCAACAGCAGCAGCAACACUUACAGAAUGGUGCUGCUCACCAGCAGCAACAUCAGCAGCAGCAACAACAGCAGCAACAACAACAGCAGCAGCAACAACCGCAGCAAUCACAACAGACACCCACCAAACCCAAAUCACAUUUCUGUGCUAGUUGUGGCAAAGGUUUUGCUGCCAAACACGGUCUCAUGCAACACAAUCGUCGUCAUCCGAACGGCGGUUGUACGGUACGCACUCAUGUGUGCGAGUGUGGCAAAGCAUUCUUCCAAAAGAAUCACUUAAUGCUACAUCAACGUCAACAUUUGGAAACGAAACCACCCAUUUCGCAGCAACAGGUGUGUUGAACCUCUCACUCACAAUCACUCUCUCAAAUCAAACUCUCUAAAAACAAUUGAGAAAUAAUCUUUAAAUAAAAAGGUUGUAGUUGUGUGCAACCUUGAUUUUAUUCUUCAA